rnacentral:rRNA from 1 species
AUUGCCUCAGUAACGGCGAGUGAAGCGGCAACAGCUCAAAUUUGAAAUCUGGCUCCCCUUGGGGGUCCGAGUUGUAAUUUGGAGAGGAUGUUUCUGGCGCGGCGCCUACCGGAGUUCCUUGGAACAGGACGCCACAGAGGGUGAGAGCCCCGUACGGUUGGCCGCCUAGCCUGCACGAAACUCCUUCGACGAGUCGAGUAGUUUGGGAAUGCUGCUCAAAAUGGGAGGUAAAUUUCUUCUAAAGCUAAAUACCGGCCAGAGACCGAUAGCGCACAAGUAGAGUGAUCGAAAGAUGAAAAGCACCUUGAAAAGAGGGUUAAACAGUACGUGAAAUUGUUGAAAGGGAAGCGCCUGCGACCAGACUCGCGCCCCGCGGACCAGCCGGCGUUCUCGCCGGUGCACUCCGCGGGGGGCGGGCCAGCAUCGGUUUUCCCUGGGGGAGAAAGGCUGCGGGAAUGUAGCUCCCUCGGGAGUGUUAUAGCCCGUGGCGCCAUGCCCCAGGGGGGACCGAGGACCGCGCUUCGGCAAGGAUGCUGGCGUAAUGGUCGUCGGCGACCCGUCU